rnacentral:lncRNA from 10 species
AUGAUUCUUGGCCUCUGUCCCAUAUCCAAUACAUAUCAGCCUCUCCCAUCACAUCCCAUCUUGUUCAAUUUCCUUGGAAGCGGUAAAGACCUCCUUUGUGCUAAAGGUGGAGAGCCAUUCUGGGAUUCAGUGACUUCUGAGGACCCUUCUGUGUUGCUUAAUUCAGGAGAUGCCUACAGGAGCAGGAAUGAAAGCUGGUUGUCAAUCCAGGUUUAUGAAGAUGCUGGACAGCUUUGUAAUUUCCUGUAUAAGAACUACGGACCAACAGAGGCCAGAGGUGUUUGAGACACAAACCCUAACCAAGAUGAUUCUUGACCUGUGUCCCAUGUCCAAUACAUAUCGGCCUCUCCCAUCACAUCCCAUCUCCUGAAUGUAAUUGCUGUCUUCAACAUUUAAAAUCAGUUAUGGGCAUUGGUAUCAACAUUAAGCAAUGUGAGCUUUUGUUGUGAGGCUUUGUAACUAAAGAAAAAAGUAGGCCGGGUGCGGUGGCUCACGCCUGUAAUCCCAGCACUUUGGGAGGCCGAGGUGGGCAGAUCACGAGGUCAGGAGUUCAAGACCAGCCUGAUCAACAUGGUGAAACUCUGUCUCUACUGAAAAUACAAAAAUUAGUCGGUGUGGUGGCACGUGCCUGUAAUCCCAGCUACUCAGGAGGUUGAGGCAGGAGAAUUGCUUGAACCUGGGAGGCAGAGGUUGCAGUGAGCUGAGAUCACACCAUUGAACCCCAGUCUGGGUGACAGCACAAGAUUCCAUCUCAAAAAAAAAAAAAAAAGAAAAGAAAAGAAAAGAAAAAAGUAGGUCAUAGGUUCAUUCAAAGCUGACAAUGGCCUGACACCAUUUUUUGGGUGUUUUCUUUAUCAUAGUGGUAAUAUAUUUACGAGUAUACUUUCCAAAUCAUAGAGAAGUGUAUACAAAGAGGAAAAUAUAGAAUCCCAUUGUCCAGAGGCUACCACUUUCUGCACUUUUCAUUCUUACUUCUUUUGUUAUUAUCAAUUCUGAAUAGUAAAUGUGUGUUUAAUUUUACUUCAUCAGUACGAACCAGUGGAUCAAUUGAUUUAUAUUUUAAAGUAUAAAAAGUUCAACAUAUAUAAUAUAUUCUUUUUUCUGCCACUUCGUGAAAUUUGUUAUUCUAAAAUUUUUCUUUCGGGUAGAUACUCAAAAUGUUAUGUUUUAUCCUAUGCUUCCAUUCAUGUGCCUCAUGCUACAACCAAAUUAUGCUGCUUAUCUUUUUAAAAAAUACCUUUUGAAUUAGACUGCUUAUCAACAAUUGAGAAAAAUCCUUCAAUUGAAUCUUUCAGCAAAUAUUUAAUAAGGACAUUGUAUGGGCUGAAUUUUUUUCCCCCUACAAUAAUCAAUAUGUUGUUGUCCCAAUCCCCAGUAAGUCAUAGUCUUACUGUACAGGAUUUGGAGACAGGGACUUUGAAAAGGUAAUUAAGUUUAAAAGAGGCUCUUAGCCUGGGCCUUAAUCCAACAGGACUGAUGGUUUUAUAAUAGGAGAAGGUUAGGACUUAGACACACAGAGGGAAGACCAUGUGAAGACACAGGCAUGAGAAGACACCAUUCAACCCUGUCCAUGCCUCGAUCUCAGGCUUUUAGCCUCCAAAGUUAUGAGAAAAUGACCUUGUGUUGUUUAAGCCACCUGGUCUGUUGUACUUUGUCAUGGUAGUCCUUGAAAACUAAUACAGAUGUAUCAUGCCCCAGGCUUAAUUUCAGACAUUUGAGUUUCAGUGUGAAUAAAACUAGACCAUGACCUUCUGGAGCAUAUCAUUAAAGGGUUGAAGGUGAGUCCUCAGAAAGUAAAUGAAAAGAAAAAAGGUCUGAAGAGUCUCCAUCCAUUUAAGCUCUGGAGGAGAAGUUGGAUCCAGCAAACCAUCCAUAGAGAAACUGACCAAUGGAGCAGAGGUCUUAUACAGGAGUGUAUAUGGGAAAUUACUUUGUGAUAAAGGUUGCAUAUUAAAAUUGUGGGCAACACAUGAAAAGGACAAACUGUGGAAGAAAGAGAAGAACAAGAAGAUUAUGAUUUUCCAGAAUUCCAAGCCAUGGAGUGACUGGUGAGUAAAUAGUUUCAGUAGCAGCUAUGUGGUUGCAAAAUUGACCUUUGGCUGAGCAAUGAGGAGUCAUUGCCAAUAUUGUCAAAGUUUGCAGAGUGGCCUGAAGACUAAGGGGAGCAGGGGUCCUAGAGAAUGGCAGGUGGUAUGAUGGGAUUACUGGCCACUGCAGAUGAGAACUCUCUGAAACACCACAGACAAGAAUACAGUUCAGGCCGGGGCGCGGUGGCUCACGCCUGUAAUCCCAGCACUUUGGGAGGCCGAGACGGGAGGAUCACAAGGUCAGGAGAUCGAGACCAUCCUGGCUAACGUGGUGAAACCCCGUCUCUACUAAAAACACGAAAAAUUCGCCGGGCGUGGUAGCGGGCACCUGUAGUCCCAGCUACUCAGGAGGCUGAGGCAGGAGAAUGGCGUGAACCCGGGAUGCGGAGCUUGCAGUGAGCCGAGAUCACGCCACUGCACUUCAGCCUGGGUGACAGAGCAAAGACUCUGUCUCAAAAAAAAAGAAAAAAAAAAUACAGUUCAGGCAGGUGGUUGCCUGCCAUAUUACUGUAUAAGCAACGAACAGUGUUUCUAUAUACAAAACAGGGAGUAGGAAGAAAUAAGAAAAAUGAACCCCAACCACAUCUUCUGAAAAAGAAGGGUAAUGAGGAUGAUUAAAACAUAGUGUAAAGCCUGAAUAAGCACAAUAUUGUAGUAGUUACACUCACAUAUAGAAAAUCUAAUCAGUGAAAAAGUUGUAAAACUAACCCUAAUACAUAUGGAAACAUAGUAGUGUCAUAUCUCAUUUUAUUUUAUUUAUAAUUUUUUAUUGUUCUAUAUUUGUGUGGGUAUAUAGUAGAUGUGUAUACUUAUGGGGUACAUGAGAUGAUUUGAUACAGGCAUGCAAUGUGAAAUAAGUACAUCAUGGAGAAUGGUGUGUCCAUCCCCUCAAGCAUUUAUCCUUUGUGUUACAAACAAUCCAAUUCCAUUCUUUAAGUUAUUUAAAAAUAUACAAUGAAGUUAUCACUGACUAUAGUCGCACUAUUGUGCUAUCAAUCGUAGGCCUUAUUCAUUUUUUCUCACUAUUUUUUGUACCUAUUAACCAUCCCCACUUCCCUCGCACACACCCUCGCGACCCUUCCCAGCCUGUGGUAACCGUCCUUCUACUCUCCUAUGCCCAUGAGUUCAACUUUUUUGAUUUUUAGAUCCCACAAAUGAGUGAGAACAUGCGACAUUUGUCUUUCUGUGCCUGGCUUAUUUCACUUCACAUAAUCAUCUCCAGUUCCAUCCACAUUGUUACAAAUGAUUGGAUCUCAUCCUUUUUUAUUACUGAAUAUACUCCAUUGUGUAUACCUACCACAUUUUCUUUAUCCAUUCAUCUGUUGAUGGACACUUAGGUUGCUUCCAAAUCUUAACUAUAGUAAACAGUGCCACAACAAACAUAUGAGUGCAGCUAUCUCUUUGAUAUACUGAUUUCCUUUCUUUUGAGUAUGUACCCAGCAGUGGGAUUGCUGGAUCAUAUACUAGCUCUAUUUUUAGUUUUUUGAGGAACCUCCAAACUGUUCUGCAUAAUGGUCCUACUAAUUUAUAUUCUUACCGACAGCAUACAAGAGUUCCCUUUUCUUCACACCCUCACCAGCGUUUGUUAUUGCCUGUCUUUCUGAUAUAAGCCACUUUAAGGGGGGGGGUGAUAUCUUAUUGUAGUUUUGAUUUGCAUUUCUCUGAUGAUCAAUAAAGUUGAGCACCUUUUCAUAUGUCUGUUUUCCAUUUGUAUAUCUUCUUUUGAGAAAUGUCUAUUCAAAUAUUUUCCCAAUUUUAAAAAUCAGAUUAUUGGAUUUCUUUCCUGUAGAGUUGUUUGAGCUUCUUAUAUAUUCUGGCUAUUAAUUCCUUGUCAGAUGGGUAGUUUACAAAUAUAUUCUCCCACUCUGUGGGUUGUCUCUUCAUUUUGUUGAUUGCAUUCUUUGCUAUGCAGAAGCUUUUGAACUUGAUGUGAUCCCAUUUGUCUAUUUUUGUUUUGGUUGCCUGUUCUUGUUGGGUAUUGCUCAAGAAAUCUUUCCCCAGACUAAUGUCUUGGAUAUUUUCCUCAAUGUUUUCUUGUAGUAGUUUCAUAGUUUGAGGUCUUAGAUUUAAGUCUUUAACUCUUUUUUUAUUUGAUUUUUGAAUAUGGCAAGAGGUCUAGUUUCAUUCUUUUGCAUAAGGAUAUCCAGUUUUCCCAGCACCAUUUAUUGAAGAGACCAUCUUUUCCUCAGUGUAUGUUCUUGGCACCUUUGUCAAAAAUGAGUUCACUGUAGGUGUGUGCAUUUGUUUAUGGGGUCUCUGCUCUGUUCCAUUGGUAUAUGUGUUUGGUUGGUUUUUGUGUUUAUUGUUGUUGUUUGUUUGUUUGUUUUGAGACGGACCCUCUCACUGUCACCCAGCCUGGAGUGCAGUGGUGUGAUCUCAGCUGACUGCAACUUCUGCCUCCUGGGUUCAAGUGAUUCUCCUACAUUAGCCUCCUGAGUAGCUGGGACUACAGGUGCAUGCCACCACGCCCGGCUAAUUUUUGUAUUUUUAAUAGAGAUGGGGUUUCACAAUGUUGGCCAGAUGGUCUCGA